AUUGAACGCUAGCGGGAUGCCUUACACAUGCAAGUCGAACGGAGUGGCGAACGGGUGAGUAAUGGAUCGGAACGUGCCCAGUAGCGGGGGAUAACUCAGAGAAAGCGGAGCUAAUACCGCAUACUAUUGGAGCGGCCGAUAUCGGAUUAGCUAGUUGGUGGGGUAACGGCUCACCAAGGCGACGAUCCGUAGCUGGUUUGAGAGGACGACCAGCCACCAGGGGACUGAGAAACGGCCCAGAAUCGUACGGGAGGAAGCAGUGGGGAAUUUUGGACAAUGGGGGAAACCUUGAUCCAGACAGCCCGCGUGUGCGAUGAAGGCCUUCGGGUUGUAAAGCACUUUUGGCAGGAAAGCGGUACCUGCAGAAUAAGCACCGGCUAACUACGUGCCAGCAGCCGCGGUAAUAC
rnacentral:rRNA from 1 species